rnacentral:lncRNA from 1 species
GGAAGUGGCAGUGUGGUGAGAAUCCAAACUCCUGUGAGAAGAUCUCUGACGGUUGUAGAUCUGGCAGGCUGGGUCUCUAUAACGUGUAGAAAUGGAGAGGAAAAAAAGUGUAGACUUGAAAAAUUUCACGUGAAGAGAACAGAGGACGUAAGGAGAUAAUUUCAUCAGAACGGUCUGACACAAUUCCUCCACAGCACAGAGAUGUCUGCUAAGGGAAAUACCUGUCACCACUAAAAACGAUGGCGAUUUUGGCAUUUUAUUCCAGGGAAGACAGGGGUGACCAUAUUGGGUCUCCUUUACUGGUCCUCCUGCUGAGUCCCAUACAGCUCCUCAUUCUGCUUACCUAAUUUUUGUGUAUGCUUUUAGUUACUCAGUGGUCACUGACAAGCAAACUGCUUAAAUUUCCUCCAAAUUAACACGUAGUAUCUGCAUCUCUCACUGCCGUGCUGAUCACUCCC